rnacentral:rRNA from 1 species
AUGGAGACCGAGACUGUGGUUGAAACACUGCUGGAGCUGCCGUUGGAUGUAUUGAUGGAUAUCUUUUCCCUCCUGGAGCUUCCUGACCUCAUUCGUGCAAGCUCCGUGUGCUCCUUCUGGCGCUCUGCUUAUAGUAGUCUACAUAGCCAGCUUGGGCAAUAUAAACGGCCCCAGACACCUUGCCUCCUCUACGCCUCCGAAGCCGAUGGUGAGAACGUAGCUUCUCUCUACAGUCUUGCUGAAAAGAGGGUCUACAAGCUAACUCUUCCGGAUCCACCUAUCCGUACUAGGCAUCUCAUUGGGUCCUCUAAUGGCUGGUUAGUUACUGCUGAUGAGAAGUCUGAGCUUCACCUUUUCAAUCCGAUCACUGGUCAACAGAUUGCCCUCCCCUCGGCGAUCACCAAGAAAUAUAUUUCGUUUGCAAGGGUAGGUGAUUAUAAAUGGACCUCGCUGCCGGGUAAGAACUAUAAACAAUGCAUCCACAUGGAUGGUCUAUUGUAUGCAUUCGCAGAAACUGGAGGAGUCUAUGCUUUUGAUCUCACCGGUCCUACCAUCAUGAGUUAUAUUAUUGCAGAUGAGAUGGAGAAUUACAUUAGUGGGACGGACGGGGACAUGGGUGAUCUGUUGCAAGUUUGCAGGAAAUCUGAUGUCACAGAAGAGCUGCUCGUACAGACUGAGAAAGUAUUGUUAUAUAAAGCUGAUAUGGCAGCAAAAAAACUUGUGGAAGUAAAUGGCUUGCAUGAUCAUGUGUUGUUUCUUGGGCGUAGUCAGUCGCAAUGCCUUAGUGCGGAAGCUUAUCCACAAUUGAAGAAAAACUGUGUUUAUUUCACAGAUGACGAGAUAUAUGUUUCGCACUAUAAGAAUAAUCGCCGGGAUAUAGGUAUUCUCAACUUGGGAAAUGACAGUACGGAAGAAAUUGUAUCUCAGCUUUGGUGCAAUUGGCCAAAUCCCAUAUGGAUAACACCAAAUCUCACGAGCAUGAAUGCAAAUAGCUAA